ensembl:misc_RNA Metazoa_SRP Metazoan signal recognition particle RNA
GCCAGGUGUGGUGGCCCACACCUGUAAUCCCAGCACUUUGGGAGGCUGAGACAGGUGGAUCACUUGAGGCCAGGAGUUCAAGACCAGCCUGGCCAACAUGGUGAAACCCCGUCUCUA